ACCGGAUCCCAUCAGAACUCCGCAGU
rnacentral:ncRNA from 2 species